rnacentral:rRNA from 1 species
GACAGAGGAUGCAAGCGUUAUCCGGAAUGAUUGGGCGUAAAGCGUCUGUAGGUGGCUUUUUAAGUCUGCCGUCAAAUCCCAGGGCUUAACCCUGGACAGGCGGUGGAAACUACCAAGCUGGAGUACGGUAGGGGCAGAGGGAAUUUCCGGUGGAGCGGUGAAAUGCGUAGAUAUCGGGAGGAAUACCUAUGGCGAAAGCAGGCUACUGGACCGUCACUGACUCUGAUCUGCGAAAGCUAGGGGAGCAAACAGG